UACAUGUGGGGCAAGCGUUGUUCGGAAUUACUGGGCGUAAAGGGCGCGUAGGCGGUGCGGUAAGUCACCUGUGAAAUCUCCGGGCUUAACUCGGAGCCUGCAGGCGAAACUGCCGUGCUUGAGUGUGGGAGAGGUGCGUGGAAUUCCCGGUGUAGCGGUGAAAUGCGCAGAUAUCGGGAAGAACACCCGUGGCGAAGGCGGCUCUCUGGGACGGUACUGACGCUGAGACGCGAAAGCGUGGGGAGCGAACAGG
rnacentral:rRNA from 1 species